rnacentral:rRNA from 1 species
AGUCGAACGAUGAUCCCAGCUUGCUGGGGGAUUAGUGGCGAACGGGUGAGUAACACGUGAGUAACCUGCCCUUGACUCUGGGAUAAGCCUGGGAAACUGGGUCUAAUACCGGAUAUGACUCCUCAUCGCAUGGUGGGGGGUGGAAAGCUUUUGUGGUUUUGGAUGGACUCGCGGCCUAUCAGCUUGUUGGUGGGGUAAUGGCCUACCAAGGCGACGACGGGUAGCCGGCCUGAGAGGGUGACCGGCCACACUGGGACUGAGACACGGCCCAGACUCCUACGGGAGGCAGCAGUGGGGAAUAUUGCACAAUGGGCGCAAGCCUGAUGCAGCGACGCCGCGUGAGGGAUGACGGCCUUCGGGUUGUAAACCUCUUUCAGUAGGGAAGAAGCGAAAGUGACGGUACCUGCAGAAGAAGCGCCGGCUAACUACGUGCCAGCAGCCGCGGUAAUACGUAGGGCGCAAGCGUUAUCCGGAAUUAUUGGGCGUAAAGAGCUCGUAGGCGGUUUGUCGCGUCUGCUGUGAAAGACCGGGGCUCAACUCCGGUUCUGCAGUGGGUACGGGCAGACUAGAGUGCAGUAGGGGAGACUGGAAUUCCUGGUGUAGCGGUGAAAUGCGCAGAUAUCAGGAGGAACACCGAUGGCGAAGGCAGGUCUCUGGGCUGUAACUGACGCUGAGGAGCGAAAGCAUGGGGAGCGAACAGGAUUAGAUACCCUGGUAGUCCAUGCCGUAAACGUUGGGCACUAGGUGUGGGGGACAUUCCACGUUUUCCGCGCCGUAGCUAACGCAUUAAGUGCCCCGCCUGGGGAGUACGGCCGCAAGGCUAAAACUCAAAGGAAUUGACGGGGGCCCGCACAAGCGGCGGAGCAUGCGGAUUAAUUCGAUGCAACGCGAAGAACCUUACCAAGGCUUGACAUGAACCGGAAAGACCUGGAAACAGGUGCCCCGCUUGCGGUCGGUUUACAGGUGGUGCAUGGUUGUCGUCAGCUCGUGUCGUGAGAUGUUGGGUUAAGUCCCGCAACGAGCGCAACCCUCGUUCUAUGUUGCCAGCGCGUGAUGGCGGGGACUCAUAGGAGACUGCCGGGGUCAACUCGGAGGAAGGUGGGGACGACGUCAAAUCAUCAUGCCCCUUAUGUCUUGGGCUUCACGCAUGCUACAAUGGCCGGUACAAAGGGUUGCGAUACUGUGAGGUGGAGCUAAUCCCAAAAAGCCGGUCUCAGUUCGGAUUGGGGUCUGCAACUCGACCCCAUGAAGUCGGAGUCGCUAGUAAUCGCAGAU